UACGUAGGGGGCUAGCGUUGUCCGGAAUCAUUGGGCGUAAAGCGCGUGUAGGCGGCCCGGUAAGUCCGCUGUGAAAGUCGGGGGCUCAACCCUCGGAUGCCGGUGGAUACUGUCGGGCUUGAGUACGGAAGAGGCGAGUGGAAUUCCUGGUGUAGCGGUGGAAUGCGCAGAUAUCAGGAGGAACACCGAUAGCGAAGGCAGCUCGCUGGGACGGUACUGACGCUGAGGCGCGAAAGCGUGGGGAGCGAACAGG
rnacentral:rRNA from 1 species